CCAACGUGGACAUCCGGAGAGGUUGCUCUCUCUCGGCUCUGUCCGUGUGGCGUACGGGAGCGUAGGCCUUCGGGCUCCGUGACGUAUAGUCCCCUUCCACGACGUUGGAGAACAAGCCGGGCCUCUGGUCUGCAGCCUGCCGAGGCCGGCCCGCUGGUCUGCAGCCUGCAUAUUCCUAUGGCUUCUCUGAGUCCUUGGACCGUGACAGAGGAGACAAACCAUGCAGGAAACAAGU